GGUUUUGCUGGCUUCGUCAAGAGGUCUGCUCCCCUUAAAUGCAUUAGCCGGUACCCUGCGUGGACUGUCUAUUGGUGUGAUAAUUAUCUACGCCGUGGAUGUCUGCUCUUUAUGGGUUGUACUGCUUCUAACCAUCCAUUUAGUUGGAUAAUCAAUGACAAUUUGGCCUCAAAUCAGGUAGGACUACCCGCUGAACUUAA
rnacentral:misc_RNA from 1 species